GUGCUCGCUUUGGGAGCACAUAUAGUAAAAUUGGAACGAUACAGAGAUUAGCAUGGCCUCUGUGCAAGGAUGACACGAAUAUUCGAAGCGUUCCAUAUUUGG
ensembl:snRNA U6 U6 spliceosomal RNA